AAGAUGUGUAUAAGGGAAAGGUGAGUCAUCGAAUCUUUGAACGCACAUUGCACCCUCUGGUAUUCCGGGGGGUAUGCCUGUUCGAGCGUCAUUUCAACCCUCAAGCUCAGCUUGGUAUUGGGUGUCACCAGACAAUGGUGCACCUCAAAAUUAGUGGCGGUGCCAUCUGGCUUCAAGCGUAGUAAUUCUUUCGCUUUGGAGGUUUGGAUGUGUGCUUGCCAUCAACCCCUAAUUUAUCAAAGGUUGACCUCGGAUCAGGUAGGGAUACCCGCUGAACUUAAGCAUAUCAAUAAGCGGAGG
rnacentral:misc_RNA from 1 species